UGAACCUUCCAAAAGCUACUCUUGAUCCAGCUGUGUGCUGAUUGUGUUAUGUUCAAUCCAUUGCUUCAUGCCAUAGACUCUGGAGCAAAAAAACAUGGCUGUUCCAUCUUCAAUAUGACAUCCAUUCAAAUAUUUAAACAUGGCCCUCAUGUUCCCUCCUAACUGUCUCUUCCCCAAGGUAAACAUACUUAGCUUCAUAAGACCUG
rnacentral:lncRNA from 11 species